rnacentral:rRNA from 1 species
GAUGGAACAGACAAUUUUCCCAAAAACACAAAGUUUUGGUCCUGAACUUGCCGAUGUUUUUUAUCAAAAUUACACAUGCAAGCAUCCGCAUACCAGUGAGAAUGCCCUACAAAAGUACCAAGGAGCAGGUAUCAGGCACAACCAGUUAGCCCAAAACACCUUGCUAUGCCACACCCACACGGGCACCCAGCAGUGAUAAACAUUAAGCAAUGAGUGAACAACCCAUACAAGCUCGACUUAGUUAUGAACAAACGGGCCGGUCAACCUCGUGCCAGCCACCGCGGUUAUACGAGGGGCCCAAAACAUCGGACACCGGCGUAAAUCAUGGCUAGAGAAAACUACUUGCACGAAGGAAAAUAAAAACAAGCCCAACCGUAAAACCUGGGCCAAAAGAAGCCCACCAUUCCAAACUGUAAAGUUACUUGAACCCAUGAAGACUAAGAAACAAACUAGGAUUAGAUACCCUACUAUGCUUAGUUGUAAACACGACAUUAAACAACACUAAUGUCCGCCAGAGGAUUACACGCGAAAAGCUUAAAACUCAAAGGACUUGGCGGUGCUCCGUACUCGCCUUAGAGGAGCCUGUCCUAUAAUCGAUACCCCACGCUUUACCUUACCAUCUUUUGUCAAAACAGCCUAUAUACCGCCGUCGCAAAUUUACCC